UGGGAACUGACCAGUUAGAUAACUCUUGCCUUUAUCAUGAAAAUGACGAAACAUUUUCUUUGGAUCUUCAAGCAUCCGAGAGCAAGAAAUAUUUAUUUAUUGCAUCGGAGAGUAAAAUUACAAGAUUUGUCUUUUAUCUAGACACUUCAAAACCUGAAAAUGGAUUGGUAGUAUUAACAGCACGUGUGACUGGCAUUGACACAUCAGCUAGUCAUCGUGGAAAUCAUUUCUUUAUCAAGAGGAGAAGUGAUGAAUGUUUCAAUUCAGAAUUACUUGCAUGCCCUGUGGAAAAUAUAUCUGCUACCACUGUUCUCCUUCCUCACCGUCCAAGCAUCAAGCUCCAGGACAUACAACUUUUUACCAACCAUCUUGCUGUUCAUGAACGUGAAAAUGGUUUACCCAGAAUUACUGUAUAUCGCCUUCCUUCUGUUGGAGAGCCACUAAAAAGACUUCAAGGUGGUUUUGCCGUUGAUUUUAUUGAUCCUGUAUACUCUGUGGAUCCAUUAGAAUCAGAAUUUGAAUCCGGUGUACUCAAGUUUUCUUAUAGCUCAAUGAGAACCCCACCUUCUGUAUAUGAUUAUGAUAUGGACACAGGGAUUUCGGUGUUGAAGAAGAUUGAAACGGUACUGGGAGGCUUUGAUGCAUCAAAUUAUGUAACUGAGAGGCAAUGGGCUACUGCUUCAGAUGGCACACAGAUACCUAUAUCAAUAAUCUAUCAAAAAAAUCUUGUAAAACUUGAUAGUUCAGACCCGUUGCUUCUUUAUGGUUAUGGAUCCUACGAGAUAUGCAUUGAUCCCACUUUCAAGGCGUCACGCUUUUCUCUGUUAGACAGGGGUUUCAUUUACGCUAUUGCUCACAUUCGUGGAGGUGGUG
rnacentral:misc_RNA from 1 species